rnacentral:rRNA from 1 species
GACGAACGCUGGCGGCGUGCUUAAAACAUGCAAGUCGAACGGACAUCUCAUGAAAGCUUGCUGAUUGAGAUGUGAGUGGCGGACGGGUGAGUAACGCGUGGGCAACCUGCCCUCGAGCCCGGGAUAACAGUUCGAAAGGACUGCUAACACCGGGUAUGCUCACGGGGGAGCAUUCCCCUGGGAGGAAAAGUGAUGCUCGAGGAUGGGCCCGCGUCCCAUUAGCUAGUUGGUGAGGUAACGGCCCACCAAGGCGACGAUGGGUAGCCGGCCUGAGAGGGUGACCGGCCACACUGGGACUGAGACACGGCCCAGACUCCUACGGGGGGCAGCAGUUGGGAAUCUUCGGCAAUGGGCGCAAGCCUGACCGAGCAACGCCGCGUGAGUGAUGAAGGUCUUCGGAUUGUAAAGCUCUGUCUUCCGGGACGAUAAUGACGGUACCGGAGGAGGAAGCCACGGCUAACUACGUGCCAGCAGCCGCGGUAAAAC